UUGUUCAGUUCUUCAUCAACUGCUCAUCCAAAGAUAAUCACAUUUUCUUUCCUUCUCUAAAUUACAGUUUCUUCAGCUGUGACUUGGGUUGGCACUGAGAGACUUGAAAGAGAAAGGCAUCAAUCUAUGACAUAUGCCAUUAAGCCAGAAAGGCACCAUCCAAUAUCAGCAUGGCUCCUGAAAGAGAUGUGUUGCCAGGAGACAGAAUGUUCCACAGACCAGCAUGGUGGAGCAGUCCACAUGCCUGAAGGCCCCAACAUCUGCAAGGAUACCCUCCAUUUUCUCCACUGAUUUAGGGACUCUUUGUGGAUUAUGGAAACAAGCUCCGAGCAUCUUCCAGAAGCUCUUGUUUCAGAGUACUGAAGAAAAUGGCACCUCAGCCCUGAAUAGAGGCUUGGAAUAAUCCCAAAUUCUCCAUCCUUAUCAGCCUUAGGACAAAAAAAAAAAUGACUUGCAAGAAAGAGCUUUCUCUCAGAUAACUGC